GUUUUGCCUGAAGAAGGCACCCUAGUCACACAGUACUUAGUAAGAAUUACUAAACAUUGACUGGACUUUGAAAUGGAAAUUCUUCUCUACCUCAUUUGGGCUUUGGACCUGCACACUGGGCUCCCGUGACUCUCAGGACCUGUCACACUGGGCUCCCGUGACUCUCAGGAUCCCAUCCCAGGGAUGGUGCCACUGCCUUGGGUCUUCCCACCUCAGUCAAUUUAACCCAGACAAGCUCUCACAGAAGCCUGAGAGCCAACUCCCAGCUGUCAAGUGACAUAAAGUGACACGAUCCAAGGAAAAUGAAAAUGCUGCAGUAGCCCAUUAUCAUAAACUACGACAAAUAACCAUUAGAUGGAACUCAGAGAGAGUUUAUGCUGACACAUGAAAAGCCCUCAAGGUUUAACCAUGCAAGAGAACCUGCCAGUCAGCUCCAUCACCUGAGAGACAGCUCAGAGGUGUCAGUAAAAGAACCUCUCCAACGACCUGUCAGUCUAAGAACCCAGGCUAAGAUUCUUCCAGAGGCCAUGUUAUCUCUAUGAGGUCCUCAAACCUACAGCCAGAAUGUGAGAAAAGGAAACUAGAGGCUCCUAGCAAAGAUAUUUAGACUUCCUGGUGACAUGCAGGCAUGCAAGGGGAACUCCACUUCUGUUGAUCACUACCAAAGUGGAAAUGAAAAAAACAACUCACUCCCAGUGACAAGUACCGAACCUCAGAUGAGUUUCUACAAUGCUCUAGGAAUGUAAUUGUUGUGAACAAUAAAUAAAAUUU